rnacentral:lncRNA from 1 species
CGUGGUUUAAAACUUGCAAAGGUUACAAGAUCACAAGGUGCCAAAACAACAUCACUAACCAAAAAGUAAAAAAUCUAAAAUCGUACUAUCGGUAUAACCACACCUAAAUAUAACAGGUUGAGUGCUUCACAAAUAAAAAUCAUAUGAGAAUCCUUUAGCUUUGAACUUAUCUUUAUAACAGGUUGCUGAAAGAAUAUCAAUUAGCAACCUCCAAGCAAACAUCGAAAUCUUUAUGCUCCAGGGAAGCACACCUGGUCAAUGGGAAAGCCAAUGACCAUGUCCCACUGGUGGUUUGGACCAUGAUUGCUAAUUAUGAUGUCCAAAAGGUUAUCAUCAACAAAGAAGUUUCAUGCGACAUAAUGUACAUCAGUCUUCUCAACAUUAUUGGUCUCAGAGACAUACAUUUCCUGAUACGAAGGUCGAGAUCUCCAAGGUUUUGAUGGACCGUCUUCAUGCCCCUGAGGUUUGUUGAAAUUACCCGUUACCUUUGGGACAAGUGACACAAAGGACAAUCAUUAGUAAGUUCUUAGCGAUCGAAAACCCUUCAGUAUAUAAUUGCAUCUUUGGCGCCCCACUCUGACAGAUUAGGUGUGAUGUCCUCGAGAGUCCACCUCAAGAUGCGGUAUCAUAAUAGUAAGGGUGUCAUGGGGACUGUAUUAGCAUAUCUGGAAGUGAAUCCAAGGCUAACUUAUGAUGUUUG